rnacentral:rRNA from 1 species
GUGGGGAAUUUUGCGCAAUGGGGGAAACCCUGACGCAGCAACGCCGCGUGGAGGAUGAAGUCUCUUGGGACGUAAACUCCUUUCGACAGGGACGAUAAUGACGGUACCUGUAGAAGAAGCCCCGGCUAACUUCGUGCCAGCAGCCGCGGUAAUACGAGGGGGGCAAGCGUUGUUCGGAAUUAUUGGGCGUAAAGGGCGCGUAGGCGGUUUGGCAAGUUUCGUGUGAAAUCUUCGGGCUCAACUCGAAGUCUGCACGGAAAACUGCCGGGCUUGAGUAUGGGAGAGGUGAGUGGAAUUUCCGGUGUAGCGGUGAAAUGCGUAGAUAUCGGAAGGAACACCUGUGGCGAAAGCGGCUCACUGGACCAUAACUGACGCUGAGGCGCGAAAGCUAGGGGAGCAAACAGG